rnacentral:rRNA from 1 species
CCCUUAGAUGUUCUGGGCUGCACGCGCGCUACACUGAUGCUUUCAUCGAGUAUAUAACCUUACCAGACAUGGUUGGGUAAUCUUUUGAAACAGCAUCGUGAUGGGGAUAGAUUAUUGUAAUUAUUAGUCUUCAACGAGGAAUUCCUAGUAAGCGCGAAUCAUCAGUUCGUGCUGAUUACGUCCCUGCCCUUUGUACACACCGCCCGUCGCUCCUACCGAUUGAGUAAUCCGGUGAAUAAUUCGGACCGAUUGCGAUGUCAGUUCCUGGCGCCGCAGACGGAAAGUCUAGUGAACCUUAUUACUUAGAGGAAGGAGAAGUCGGAACA